CAGCACCUCAAGUGGUCAGGAUGAUUAUUGGGCCUAAAGCAUCCGUAGCCGGCGCUGUAAGUUUUCGGUUAAAUCUGUACGCUCAACGUACAGGCUGCCGGGAAUACUGCAGCGCUAGGGAGUGGGAGAGGUAGACGGUACUCGGUAGGAAGGGGUAAAAUCCUUUGAUCUAUUGAUGACCACCUGUGGCGAAGGCGGUCUACCAGAACACGUCCGACGGUGAGGGGUGAAAGCUGGGGGAGCAAACCGGAUUAGAUACCCGCGUAGUCC
rnacentral:rRNA from 1 species